CAUGGGCCACCAACAGUCCAGGUUUUGUCGGUAUCUUCAUUGGAAUAAAAGAGGGAAAUACAUAAAUCCUGUACUGUUGGUGGUCCAU